UACAGAGGUCCCAAGCGUUGUUCGGAUUUACUGGGCGUAAAGGGCGCGUAGGCGGCCAGCGCAAGUCAGUUGUGAAAUCUCCGGGCUUAACUCGGAAAGGUCAACUGAUACUGCGCGGCUAGAGUGCAGAAGGGGCAACUGGAAUUCUCGGUGUAGCGGUGAAAUGCGUAGAUAUCGAGAGGAACACCUGCGGCGAAGGCGGGUUGCUGGGCUGACACUGACGCUGAUGCGCGAAAGCCAGGGGAGCGAACGGG
rnacentral:rRNA from 1 species